rnacentral:rRNA from 1 species
UACGAAGGGGGCUAGCGUUGUUCGGAAUUACUGGGCGUAAAGCGCACGUAGGCGGACUAUUAAGUCAGGGGUGAAAUCCCGGGAGCUCAACCCCGGAACUGCCUUUGAUACUGGUAGUCUCGAGUCCGGAAGAGGUGAGUGGAAUUCCGAGUGUAGAGGUGAAAUUCGUAGAUAUUCGGAGGAACACCAGUGGCGAAGGCGGCUCACUGGUCCGGUACUGACGCUGAGGUGCGAAAGCGUGGGGAGCAAACAGG